rnacentral:rRNA from 1 species
UCUUGAUUAGUGGCGCACGGGUGAGUAAUGCAUAGAUAAUGUGCCCCUUAGUUCGGGAUAGCCACUGGAAACGGUGAUUAAUACCGGAUACUCCUUCUUGUUAUAAGACAAGUCGGGAAAGUUUUUCGCUAAGGGAUCAGUCUAUGUUCCAUCAGCUUGUUGGUGAGGUAAUGGCUCACCAAGGCUAUGACGGAUAUCUGGUUUGAGAGGAUGAUCAGACACACUGGAACUGAGACACGGUCCAGACUCCUACGGGAGGCAGCAGUGAGGAAUAUUGCACAAUGGAGGAAACUCUGAUGCAGCAACGCCGCGUGGAGGAUGACGCAUUUCGGUGUGUAAACUCCUUUUAUUAGGGAAGAUAAUGACGGUACCUAAUGAAUAAGCACCGGCUAACUCCGUGCCAGCAGCCGCGGUGAUACGGAGGGUGCAAGCGUUACUCGGAAUCACUGGGCGUAAAGGGUGCGUAGGCUGGCUUUUAAGUCAGAUGUGAAAUCCAAUGGCUCAACCAUUGAACUGCAUUUGAAACUGAAAGCCUAGAGUUCAGAAGGGGCAGAUGGAAUUAGUGGUGUAGGGGUAAAAUCCGUAGAUAUCACUAGGAAUAUCAAAAGCGAAGGCGAUC